rnacentral:tRNA from 1 species
UGCGGGGUGGUGUAAUUGGUAACACGCCGGCCUUUGGAGCCGGAGAUUCCAGGUUCGAUCCCUGGCCCCGCAGCCA